AAAUAUGAAGCAAUAAUUUGCAGUUAGUUUCGGCCUAACCUUAGAUGUUACUUCGUCCUUAUUUU
rnacentral:tRNA from 1 species